GACGAACGCUGGCGGCGUGCUUAACACAUGCAAGUCGAACGGGUCUGCCCUGUUUUUUGCGGAGUGGGUCAGUGGCGAACGGGUGAGUAACACGUGAGUAACCUGCCCCUCACUUCUGGAUAACCGCUUGAAAGGGUGGCUAAUACGGGGUGUUCUGGCUGUGCCGCAUGGUGUGGCUGGGAAAGAUUCACUUUUGUGGUGUUUUGGUGGGGGAUGGGCUCGCGGCCUAUCAGGUUGUUGGUGGGGGGGUGGCCUGCCACGGCUUUGACGAGUAGCCGGCCUGGGGGGGUGGGCGGUCAUACUGGUACGGAGAGGCGGCCCAGACUCCGGCGGGAGGCAGCAGGGGGGGGUAUGGCACAAGCGGCAGAAUGCUGAUGCAGCGACGUCGCGUGAGGGAUGGAGGCCUGCGGGUUGUGAACCUCUUUCGCCGGUGAAGAAGGUCCUGCUCUUUGUGGUGGGGUUGACGGUAGCCGGGUUAGGAAGCGCCGGCUAACUACGUG
rnacentral:rRNA from 1 species